GACGAACGCUGGCGGCGUGCUUAACACAUGCAAGUCGAACGGUAAGGCCCCUUCGGGGGUACACGAGUGGCGAACGGGUGAGUAACACGUGGGUGAUCUGCCCUGCACUUCGGGAUAAGCCUGGGAAACUGGGUCUAAUACCGGAUAGGACCACUGCCUGCAUGGGUGGUGGUGGAAAGCUUUUGCGGUGUGGGAUGGGCCCGCGGCCUAUCAGCUUGUUGGUGGGGUGAUGGCCUACCAAGGCGACGGCGGGUAGCCGGCCUGAGAGGGUGACCGGCCACGCUGGGACUGGGGUACGGCCCAGACGCCUACGGGAGGCAGCAGUGGGGAAUAUUGCACAAUGGGCGCAAGCCUGAUGCAGCGACGCCGCGUGAGGGAUGACGGCCUUCGGGUUGUAAACCUCUUUCAGCACCGACGAAGCGCAAGUGACGGUAGGUGCAGAAGAAGGACCGGCCAACUACGUGCCAGCCGCCGCAGUAA
rnacentral:rRNA from 1 species